UGGUGGGAAAACACCUAAAGUCAACACGGAGAGGUACUGGAAAUAGCAUUCAGAUGGUGGUGGGAUAUCCAGUGCGUCGGAUGGAAGCACAUGAAAGGUUCAAGCAGAAACAAGGGUCGGUCAGAUGGUUCCCAGGAUGGAUUUUUUUACCCCAGUGCGGCUUGUACUUUUCUUGACAGAAAUCAAAGACUGCAAGUGUAUCCUGCCUUGACUGCUCGUAUGACUAGUGACAAGCUGCUGCUAAAGUGACUGCAAUGUUCGCUACUGAAAGCUUCAGGCAACCUACAGCAGAUUCAAUCACUGGUUCUCUGCACUAACAAUGAAGCAAAGUCUUGAAAACAGCUUUUCAAUCGGU